GAGCUGCUACCCUGGAACUGGUGCAUGUAAUGUUCCAGCUUACAAUAAUCAAGAGGACUAUUUUCCCUGAAACAUAUAUAUAUUUAUAUAUACUAUAUAACUUAUCAAUGAUCACAAUUCUUGUUCUUUUGUUACAAUGCAAGGAGAAUUAAUAUUUACAUAUAUAUAUAGAGAGAGAGAUAGAUUAAAAUGCAUGCUAGAUUGAUAUAUAUGUUGGGUCACUUGCGUCAUUUAAUCGUUAAUUUAAUAAUUUAACAUUACCGUAAGGAUGUAAAAAGCAUGUAAAUAUAUAUUUAAGUGUAAAAUUUUGUUUGAUUUGACGUUAUAUAUACAUCAACAACUUUACAACAACAAUAGAAGAAUUUACUAAAAUUUG
rnacentral:lncRNA from 1 species